rnacentral:tRNA from 1 species
GCCUGGGUGGCUCAGUCGGUUAAGUGUCUGACUUCGGCUCAGGUCAUGAUCUCACGGUCUGUGAGUUCGAGCCUCGCGUCAGGCU